UAGCCUAAUAUCCUAAACUAAGGAUAAACUU
rnacentral:piRNA from 1 species